UCAAUUUAGUAUGAGUAAGGUACUGGGCUUCGAUGGUAAUUCACUUCCUUGUCUUAUGAAGGCUAGUAAAAUCAUUUAUUGGAGAGGAGUUAACUGCGGUGGCUGUGGUUGCAACAGUGGCUAUGGAAGUUUCGGCAGGAUAAGCUAAAAAGGUAAGAGAUAGUUAAUAAAAAAAUGAUGAGAAAGAAAUAUUUAAUAAAAUGCAUGAAAUAUUUAAUAAAACAUAUCACAACUUGAACUAUAUUCACAAAUCUCAUAAGUCAUAUGGUAAAAGUACUAACAGCUUCAGACAUAGUCUUCAUCUCAUCAGGAGGGAGGGCAUGGAACGAGUACCUCUAGUACUUUUACAUCUACCACCACUCUCACAUGAUCUUCUUGCAUUUGCCUAUGGUGGAUAGUUUGUCUCGAAGUGUGAACGCUACCAAGAGUGACCAAACAUCUAUCAAGGUCCUUUAGAUAUAGCUUACAAAGUUCAUUAGUAUUUCCCACUAAAGGGCCCUCUGACACACGUCCAAGAACAUUAAUAUCUUUCGUGCUAUGAAAUCUAAGAGACUGUGUAUGAGGUGCAUCAGUAGUUGUCUCUUGUUGUGAGGUCAUAGAGGUCAUCAUCUCCUCUUUCAUUUUUGCAAGUUGGGCUUCCAAGCAGACUUCCAAGCAAGCUUCAAAUGAAGCUUCGACAUCCUUCAUUACUUGUUGCCUUAUAUUUGUCAUUACACUUUCCAACUCCUCUCUCAUAAUAAUACUCGGGCUACUAGAGCAUGCAGGUACUUCAAAGUAAUAUGUGAUUCCCACACCAAAUUCAACACCUCUAGCACACCCCGAAUGCUCUGAUUUGCCCAAGAUGUCAUUUCUAUCCUCUGGAGCAAAGGAUCCUUGAUCUUGUUGUUCCUUAAGAGCCUCAUAUAACAAACAGAAAAAAUCAUAAUGAAUAAUUGAAUUAAAAAAUUAAAUAUUACUUACAAUCAUUUCAGCAGCCUCGUGUGCCUUCUUGCCUGUAUACCCUCCUUUCUUGUAUUAAUGACCAUAUCUCCAUUUAGCCUUACAAGAACUUAUUUGGACCAUUUUAUACACAUUAAGAGUCUCCAUAUGCAUUCAUUACAUAUUCUUAGUGUAAAUUUGCCUAAUUGUUCAAUUACAUGCAUAAGGGGCAUUUUGGUCAUAAAAUUCACUUUUUCACCAAAGUAGGGUUAAGCUAGAAAUUUAUGGUUUUUAAUGGGCUCAAAUGAUUUCUCAAAUUAUUUUUUAUAUGUUCAUCUUAGGUUGAGAGUUAUUAAGAAAAGACAACUUUUUAACAUUGUCUCCCUAAUAGUUUUCAAUUAGCCUUUGACUUUAGUUCAAGUGCAUGCUUGUCUACAUUUAUGUCUUGUGAGGCUUUCAUAUUCAUUUUUCCUUAGUAAUUUUAAUACUUUGAAUGAAUUUAUCUUAGUCUAAUUAAAUAAACGUUACGUUAUGAUUAUUUGAUUUAAUUGUAACCUAGGUGAAUUAAUGUGACAAAUGAAGACAUAAUUCAAAGCAAUCAAAUAGAGCUUUUAAAUGGAAAAAGAGGCAUGACAUUAUCAGAUUUAGAGAGGUCCAAAUUAGGCUUGGAAUAAUGCAUUGUAUUCUACAUUGGAAUUGUCAUCAAUUUUCUUCCAAAUUCACAAGUAGUUUUGGCUAAGUGGAUAAUUAGUUGAAAACCACAACCCUUUGCAAGUUUCUAUCUCUUUUCUCUCAUUUUCUAUUAACCAAUUUUGUGCAAUUCAUAUCUCUCACUCUUUUUUCUAUCUUCAAACAUUUUCUCUCACUUUCUCACUUGUUUUUCAAUUUUUCCAUCCAAUCAAUUACCCAUAUCUCUCUCAUUUCUCAUCUAAAUCACACAAAAUCACAUUCAUUCUUCUCCUUUCUCUCUAAUCUCAUCCAAACACUCUAAUAAAAUCAAGGAUUGAAGGCUAAUAUCAUCAUUGGAAGGAGAUUAAGGGUUUAGCCACUUUGGUUCUCAAUUUGGAAGCUUUGAAGAUAAUGAUGGAUUGCUAGAUUUCUCAAGGGAUCCUAGAGGGAAGAUGGACGGAGGAUGAAUCAAUAGGCUUCUAAUGGAUAAGACUUUCUAAUUCACUUCAUUUCUCUUAUUUAAUUUGAUGUUUAACACUUUAGUCUAGGGUUAUUCUAUAACUGGUUUGUAAUUCUAAUUGGAAUUCAUUUUGAAGUAAUGAGAGAUACUUGUUUGGUUGAUUCAGCCAUCUCUAGAAAUAUACAUAAUCUUGUGUUUUUCUAUUGAUGAUUCUUUUUCUUUGCUCUUAUAUAGUCUUGUGAGUAAGGUUAAAAUAUUAGAGAGAACUACCAUAGUCUUAGGGUUCAAUCUAACCAUUGAUGUGCCAUGGUUUCACUAGGGUCUGUCUAACCUAAACACUUAGUCAUUCUAAAAUCAAACUAGGGAAAGAACCUAAGGAUAUUAGUGAUGACUUAGGGAAUUAAACUAGCUAGAUCAAGUUUCUUAAGAUAGUCUUCAUAAGGAACUACUAAGAGGCCAAGAAGAGAAAUCAAUCACUAAAUCCACAAUUAAUAAGAUAGGUAAUGAUUUUUCUACUAUCUAAACUCUAGGGCUCCACUUUAUUAAAGGGUAUUCACUUCACUCAUUCUUUAGUCUAGGUUUUAGCAUUUUUGUUCAUUAUUUAGUGGCUAAACUCUUCAACUUAUAGGUAAUUUGUUCACUAAAUAACUUCAUAAUUAAAUUGAAACACUCACUAGGGAGAUGACCUAAGGUUGACCCUAUAUUACAUUAGGGUUAGAACUAUUAUUAUUUUGAUAAGUGUGCGAUUAACCCAUUCAACAAGAGAUAGUGGGUAUAAGAGAAUAGAAGGAUUGAAUUUAACUUCAUGUUUGAAUGAUGCAACUACUUCUUCUCAUGAUUUGUUGAUGAGUUUGAAAUCUCUACUAUUCUUAAACUUGAAAUGCUUGAGAAGGGUAUAUUUUCUUGUGUUGUAGGUACUAAUGUCAUUGAGACCAAAGCUAUUGGAAGAAAAUUCUAUACUUCCAAAAUCCAAGGCUGUGGCUAUAGUUUAGGCACUUGAAGAUAAGUUGAAUAAAAAGUGAGGCGCUGUGAGGGUUGAAAAAGAGAAAAAGCAAUUAAGGAGCCUAAAUUUAGCAAGGGGGCUAUGAGUUCUACACCCAAGUUGGACUUGAAGAAAGUCAUUCUUUCUUGUGUGGAGCCAUCUACCUUCGCGUUGAAGCCUUUGCCAUCCAAUCUCAAAUAUGCAUAUCUCCUAAGAAGCUUUCAGAUAAAAGGAUAGAGAGGUAAUUCAAGACAGAACCUGUGAGCACAAGUAAGAAUUUUCUCACUGUGCCACGUGCCGCGGCGCACCAUCCAAAAAUCACUUAAAGCUUAUGUGAAUAGCUUAUGAAAAUAAAAGGGAGGAGGCUGGAGAAGCGUUUGAAGAGCAAGAGGAAGACAUCUCUACUAGGGCAAGUAUUAUCUGGAGCUCAGGAGUCUGCUUCGAUUGAUUACUUGCUAGAAAAUAGCAGAAAUGAAGGAGACAAUGGAACUAAAAGACAUGGAUUCUACGCUAAGGUAAGUCAUAUAUUAGUAAAAGAAAUACAAGCAUGGCGUCACGCGCGUAUGCAUGUGAUGUGGAAAGAUAUGAUGGUCCCGAUGAGGAUGACAUGACACGACAUUGCCCGCAGGUGGGAAUGGAUUGAAGGAAAUAAAACUUCAUUCUAAUAUGUCAAAAAAAAUUUUUCAUAAAAUUUUCUUAAAAUAAUUCAAGAGAAAUAGUUUCUCACAGAAAAUUUUAAGGGCUUAAUUUUUUUUUUCUUUUGAGAGAAAAUCUAAGAGAAAUCUCUUUGUUUCUCUAAAAUUUUUGAAAUUUUCACUUAGAAUAAUUCUUGAGAAAAAUGCUAUUAGUUAUGAUGAGUCACAUGAUUAUUCAAAUAAGAAAUAAAUGUUGUUGCUUUACGUUAUGCUUACAGGGAAGGAAGUACUGUUGAGGGUUUUACUAAUAUAGACCAUGUUUCAAAGAUUACUAACAUUGUCCUUUAAAUUCCACAAUUGACAAAUUGUGAUUUAAAUAAGGGUGAAGCAUAUCAGGUAUUGAUGGGCAAGGUUAUGAUGGCGCCAGCAAUUUGUAGCGUGAAUUUUGUAGUCUUAAAAGUAUAAUUUUAUAGGUGAAGCCAUAAGCAUUUUAUGUGCAUUACUUUUCUCAUCAACUAUAACAUAGGUUAAUUGUUGUGCUAUU